UGGCCCCCGAGUGGCCGGUCGACGGCACCGGCGCCGCCGUGAUCGGCGCGGGCAACGUCGCCGUGGACGUCGCCCGGAUCCUGGCCAAGGACGCCGA
rnacentral:tRNA from 1 species